UCCCUGGUGGUCCAGUGCCCAAGACUCUGCACUCCCAAUGUAGCAGGCUUGGGUCUGAUUCCUGGUCAGGGAA
rnacentral:tRNA from 1 species